rnacentral:rRNA from 1 species
UACAGAGGGGGCAAGCGUUGUUCGGAAUUACUGGGCGUAAAGGGCGCGUAGGCGGCCUGCUAAGUCGAACGUGAAAUCCCUGGGCUCAACCCAGGAACUGCGUCCGAUACUGGUUGGCUUGAAUCCGGGAGAGGGAUGUGGAAUUCCAGGUGUAGCGGUGAAAUGCGUAGAUAUCUGGAGGAACACCGGUGGCGAAGGCGGAUCUCUGGGCCUUACCUGACGCUCAG